rnacentral:misc_RNA from 1 species
CACUGUCCGACGGAGUCAUAAAGCAACGCGCCGAUGGCGUAGCCGACAACGCCGCCUGCGACCGACGUCACCGUACAGACCAGCGCGUAGAGCCACGCCUUCUGCGGCCGCGCCAGCGACAUCGGGAUCAGCAUGACAUCCGGCGGAAUCGGAAAGAACGAGCUUUCCGCGAAGGACACAGCGCCCAUCAGCCAGAGGGCGUAAGGUUUAUCGGCGGCGGCUAUGCACCAGUCGUACAUUCGUUUCAGCAUGGCGCGAU